AUGGAUCCAGAACCUUCCGGAAGAACCUCAGGACCCCCACCCCGGGACACGCCCGGAUCCGGCUUUGCCUCAUCCCCAUCUCCCCUUUUUCCCGCAGGGCUCCGGGCGGCCGUGACCCUGCUGGAGUCCGGGGGGGACCUCCAGCCCCCCGGGGGGUCCCUGCGCCUCCUCUGCCGAGGGGAUGGAUUUGAGUUCGGGAAAUUCGGGAUGUACUGGAUCCGCCAGAGACCCGGGAAGGCGCUGGAAUGGCUCGCGAGCAUUGACAGCGAUCACUACACCUGGUACGCGCCGUCGUCGCAGGGCCGGUUCAGCAUCGCCAGGGACAACGGGCAGAGCUCGGUGACGCUGAGCAUGAACAACCUCCAGGACGAGGAUUCCGGCGUUUAUUUCUGCGCCAAAUCUUAUGAGGAAAAUGCUGGUUAUCGUUUUUAUCGUGGAUUUGGGAAUUCUGGGCUGUUUGAGGACUCUUCCAGGCAGCUUGGGGCUGGCAUCAGCAUGGUCACCAACAUGGUCAACAACACCUGA